AAAUUAUUAAUAURUUAUARUCUUUAAAGUUAAAAAAUUUGGCGGUAUUUUAAUCUCUUCAGAGGAACCUGUUCUAUAAUUGAUAUUCCACGAUUAAAUUAACUUAUGUUAGAAAUUUGCAUAUCGUCGUAAUUGAAUAUUUUUGAAGAAUUUUAAUAUUCAAAAUUUUUUAUUAAAAAAUAAAUCAGAUCAAGAUGUAGUUUAUAUAUAAGAAGAAAUGGGUUACAAUAUAUUAUUAAUAUUUGGAAAAUUUUUUGAGAAAAGAUUUGAAAUUGGAUUUGAUAGUAAUUAAUUUCUAUUGUU
rnacentral:rRNA from 1 species